CAGAAACAUCAAACGAGCAUAAAGCUAGUAUCUGCACCUAAAUUGAGGAUUUCCUUCCAAUCUGGAUUUCAAGUGAUACAAUAAACCAGUGCAUAAAAGCGGUUUAAUCCCUAAAGUAUGUCUGCAGAUAAGAGUUCCAUUUUUUCCCCAAAUCCCUUUGCUUGUCCAGAUUUUGAGGAUUUAUUUACCUAUUGGAGCAAACACCUAACAGAGAAACAAGAGAGUAAACUCUUAAACAAGGGGCGUAAGGUUCACGAGAAGACAACCGCUGCUUCCAGAAUAAGAUCCCUCUCGUCUUCUCACAAAAAAUCACUUUUGGAACUUAAUAAAUUCACCACCAGAGCAGGAGAGACAACACCAGCAUCUGUCAAAUACAACCCAAAAAGUAUACCGGCUGCUAC